rnacentral:lncRNA from 1 species
UUCUAUGUUCUUUUAAUAUCACUUGUAAAAAAAAAAAAAAAAAAUUGGUAAGAAGGUAAACAGAUUCUAAGACUGCGUUUUGGCAAAAAAAUAAAAAUAAAGUGCUUUUGAGAAAUAAAAGCACUUUUUGAAUAAAACACUUGUUUGUUUAAUUCUUCUACUAAAAAUACUUAUAACAAAAGCGUUUAUGAGCAGAAAUAUUUCAUACAUAAACAGUCUCAAACGUGCUCGUAAACAUGCAAUCGCCUCUUAGAACAAGAAAUUAUGAAAUUCUUUUCAUCUCAACACAAAUGUGUUGGUUGCAC